UACGUAGGGGGCAAGCGUUGUCCGGAUUUAUUGGGCGUAAAGAGCGUGUAGGCGGCCAGGUAGGUCCGCUGUGAAAACUCGAGGCCCAACCUCGAGAUGUCGGCGGAAACCAUCUGGCUAGAGUCCGGAAGAGGAGAGUGGAAUUCCUGGUGUAGCGGUGAAAUGCGCAGAUAUCAGGAAGAACACCCGUGGCGAAGGCGGCUCCCUGGGACGGUACUGACGCUGAGACGCGAAAGCGUGGGGAGCGAACAGG
rnacentral:rRNA from 1 species